rnacentral:rRNA from 1 species
UAUGGCUCAGAUUGAACGCUGGCGGCGUGCUUAACACAUGCAAGUCGAACGCGAAAGGGACUUCGGUCCUGAGUAAAGUGGCGCACGGGUGAGUAACGCGUGGAUAAUCUGCCCUUAUGAUCGGGAUAACAGUUGGAAACGGCUGCUAAUACCGGAUACGCUCAAAAUGAACUUUUUGAGGAAAGAUGGCCUCUGCUUGCAUGCUAUCACGUAAGGAUGAGUCCGCGUCCCAUUAGCUUGUUGGCGGGGUAACGGCCCACCAAGGCAACGAUGGGUAGCCGAUUUGAGAGGAUGAUCGGCCACACUGGAACUGAAACACGGUCCAGACUCCUACGGGAGGCAGCAGUGGGGAAUAUUGCGCAGUGGGCGAAAGCCUGACGCAGCGACGCCGCGUGAGGGAUGAAGGUUUUCGGAUCGUAAACCUCUGUCAGAAGGGAAGAAACUACGUUGUGCUAAUCAGCAGCGUACUGACGGUACCUUCAAAGGAAGCACCGGCUAACUCCGUGCCAGCCGCGGC